GUACUUGUUUCAGUAGCACAUGUGCUAAAAUUGGAAUGAUACAGAGAAGAUUAGCAUGGCCUCCGCCCAAGGAUGAUACACAAAUUCAUGAAGCAUUCCAUAUUUUU
rnacentral:snRNA from 1 species